rnacentral:rRNA from 1 species
GACGAACGCCGGCGGCGUGCCUAAUACAUGCAAGUAGAACGCACAGUUUAUACCGUAGCUUGCUACACCAUAGACUGUGAGUUGCGAACGGGUGAGUAACGCGUAGGUAACCUGCCUGGUAGCGGGGGAUAACUAUUGGAAACGAUAGCUAAUACCGCAUAAUAUUGAUUAUUGCAUGAUAAUUAAUUGAAAGGUGCAAUUGCACCACUACCAGAUGGACCUGCGUUGUAUUAGCUAGUAGGUGAGGUAACGGCUCACCUAGGCGACGAUACAUAGCCGACCUGAGAGGGUGAUCGGCCACACUGGGACUGAGACACGGCCCAGACUCCUACGGGAGGCAGCAGUAGGGAAUCUUCGGCAAUGGACGAAAGUCUGACCGAGCAACGCCGCGUGAGUGAAGAAGGUUUUCGGAUCGUAAAGCUCUGUUGUAAGAGAAGAACGGGUGUGAGAGUGGAAAGUUCACACUGUGACGGUAUCUUACCAGAAAGGGACGGCUAACUACGUG